rnacentral:rRNA from 1 species
UACGGGGGGGGCAAGCGUUGUUCGGAAUUAUUGGGCGUAAAGGGCUCGUAGGCGGCCAACUAAGUCAGACGUGAAAUCCCUCGGCUCAACCGGGGAACUGCGUCUGAUACUGGAUGGCUUGAAUCCGGGAGAGGGAUGCGGAAUUCCAGGUGUAGCGGUGAAAUGCGUAGAUAUCAGGAGGAACACCUGCGGUGUAGACGGCUUACUGGACGGUAACUGACGCUGAGGCACGAAAGCGUGGGUAGCAAACAGG